CUACGACCCAGACCGGACUGGUUUUCUCCUCUCUCCUCUUCUUCUCCUCCUCCUCUCUUCUCUAAUCUAAGGCGCCGUACUGUACAUACAUACACGCAUACUUGCAUGCAUAUGAUUAAUUAUAAUGCCAGAACCAGAAGAGAAGAUCCAUCAAUGUUAUACAUAUGUAUCAUCAUAUAUCAAACACACACGCACGCACACAACGCAAACACGGCCCAACUUCCCCAAUCUGGGGAAUCCGUGCAGGUGCGGGGACAAAAGCACAGGUGCGUAUCGAUGUUCCUCUUAGUCUUAGUUGGGCGGCACUCGCACGUAGUCACGUGACUUUGGGACCCAUCGUGACCUAUCCGAUCCGAUCCCAUGAUCCCCCAGGACAGGAGCUUCAACGGUCCAGGCUCAUUUACCCGCACGUCAGGGCCCCCCGGCGGCCCCCAAGUCUCAACAAAACUGUUGGCCAGAGAUUGAAAUUGACACCAUUUAUAUAUAUAUAUAUAUAUAUGGAAAAUUAUUUUACAUGUUAUAUAUGUAUAUAUAUGCAUACAUCCUCCCUAACUGCCCUCAAUCUUUGCCAACAUUAUCCAUUUUGCCACUGAGCUCAUUGAGUGGCCGUCCUUCACCUUAGCGAGCCCGGGUGGCACAUGAUAUAAUAGGGAGGGACGAAUCAAUUACGAAAUGAUAAGACGAAUUAAUAAUAGUCAGGCAAAAGAGAGAAGAAAAGAUAGUUCUCUUGUAAACCCCAUUCAAACCGGUGAGAAAAUCAGACGAUCCAAUUAAACACAACAACUUUUUCUUCUUUUCCUGACCUGAAGAGUGAAGACCACCACACCUCUUCCCCUCGAGCUAUCAAUCGAUGAAACCGUACGAAAAACAAAGCUGCCUCCAUCAACUGGCAGCCUCUUAAUCAGAGGACGAUCUGAAGAAGCAAAUCGGGCCGGGCCUUCAAUUAAAGAAUCGGCAACCUCCGCCGCUUGACUUUGAAGAGACGACCUAUUUAUGAGUUCUUGCUCUGUAUUUUUUUUGUUCCUUUCGUGUGGAAGUGAAAGAAUAAUAGCAUAUUGACCUACCUUCAAAUUGCAAUGGAAAGCUACGUUACUCCA